GAAAUGUUCUAGUUACUAUUAAAAUGUUACAUUUUCCACCCAGGCAGGACUUUUUUCAGGGUUGUUGCUGUGUGCCUGGUGCUGCUGUGUGUUCUCCUCCUGGCCGGCAUCAUAGGCACUGGACUCCACUACAGAUUUAAACUGCAGACCCUCAGCAGGAGCUGUCCUGAAAACAGAAGCCAAACUUUGGCUGAAUUCAAUCACUUCUGUAAAGACGGCUGCAAGUCAUUCAACAACAGUUUUUAUUACAUUUCUUCUGAGAAGAGUUCUGUAUUGAAGAACUGGGAGGACAGCAGACAGGACUGCAGAGACAGACGGGCAGAUCUAGUCAUUGUAACCAACAAAGAAGAGCAGGGAUUCAUUAAUUCCUUCAACCAGGAAUUCUGGAUCGGUCUGACUGACAGAGAAGAAGAGGGAACAUGGAGAUGGGUAGAUGGUUCAGUUCUGAACAGCUCAGGGUAAGACUUUUAUUUCUUUAAUGCUAUUUUCUGCAUCAUCUGCUGCAAUAAUUCCAGAUUUGUCUGUUUUUGAACAGGUUUUGGUAUCCAGGCCAGCCCAACAAAUAUACGUUGAAGGAGAAUUGUGUCAACACGUUUCGGUCUGGAGAGCUGAACCGUUGGAAUGAUGCUAACUGUUCUGCCUCGAGACCCUGGAUCUGUGAAAAACCUUUGGAUGUCUAAUGUCAUUUGUAAAUAUUCUGUGAUAAGCACCAAAAAAUAGCUUUUUAUCUUUUUUUUUUUACAAAAGACUUUUUUGAAACACACAAACAUUCUCCUCCCUCUAGCAGCCGUAGAUUCUGCCCUACAAAGUCUAACUGCAUUAACUACUUUUUUGGUCGAAAUUGACUUAUAAACUAAAAAUGAACUCCUUGAUGUCUGUUUAAUCUUGUGACAAAGUUUUAGAUUUCAAUUUUGCUUUCACUCAGAGAAAUAAUGAUAUAAAAAUUGCAGUAACUACAAAAUCCAACUCAAAACCAAAGCAGACCGCAUUAAUUGCACUUACAACAGUCUGUUUUGACUGAGAUACAGUGUAGUCUUGUAUUUAUUCAUUGUGUUGAAUAGUGAAGACAAGAAUAAUAGAAAUUAUAAGUUUAUCAGAAGGGGAAAUUAUUUUCUAGAUAUUGAUUAAAUAAAAAGGGGGAAGAAAUAAUAUUAAGUCUAAAAUAUAACAUUACUUCAUAAUAUUUAGUCUAAAAUACACAAAUCUUUGAAUAGAGUUGUUUUUUACACUUUUAAAUACACUUAUAACAAAAUCAAUUUGAAAAUGUUUAUUCACUGAAAACAAAAUAUAACAGCUGGAAGAAGACAACAACAUUACUAUUAGAAGAUUUUACAGGAAAACCAGAGUGCAGUAACUACAUCUUUGGGGUCAAAGGUCAAAUAACUCUUCAUGAUUUUUGAGUAUAAAAAUGACAUCAUCAAUACAUGUAGAUAACCCAUUUGGCUGGACAUUUAAAAAAACGUUAAAAAACUUUAAAGCAGUUUUUCUCAGUUUAACCCUUUUGCUAGUUGUAGUUAGACUUUGUAGGGCAGAAUUGGAGGCUUGAAUUUGUUAUGGAAGUCAAGUGUGUGUGUGAGAAGGUGUUUGUUUGUUACAGUUUUUCUCAGUCACUUUGGUGCAUUUCUCACAUCACUAUGUGCAUUUGCAAUUUGCAACAGUUAAUGCAUUUCUCAAAACAAUUAGUACAAACUGCAAAACCGCGGGCACCCCGACGUGUGUUGACGGGUGAGGACCCGUUCAACGCCGCUUUCAGCUUUAAUUAUUUUUGAAACUGUCAUUUCUGCCAAAUUUUGAAUAUUUUAUAUAUCCCUUGCUUAUUUUA